rnacentral:lncRNA from 1 species
GCACAACACGGGGCCAGACACACGGAAAGGGCCCCAAGGGUCAGCCCCCGGGCUGCCCUCCACGCAGACCCCACAGGGUCUCCUCGUCGCCCCCCCGACCUCCGCGCGCGUGCGCACAAGCUGCUAGAGGGAGCGGCGGGCAGCGGACGGCGGGAAAAGGAGACUUACCUCGGUAUUCCUCCAUACGCCCCCCUUGAUCAUAAUUCGAGGCAUCUUGGCGGCAGGGUGUCUCGGCAAGCAGCCGAGAGGAGCUUCAGAGAAGUAGUAACAGCGAUUGGGCCACCGGACUCAAAGCCGCCACUUCCUCCAAGCGCGACCUUCUGCUUUGAAGAUCUGCGCAAGCGCAAGGUCUUCGAGAUUUUAACACUGGAGCAUAGAGGAGGUCAGUCUCUACUGACUGCUGAACAUCCAACACGUGACACCCAGGAGUUGUCUACCACCAUGUUUUGGACUAAGGGAAAAAAGCAGAGUCACUGAAAUUAAAGCCUGUAAGAAGCUGUCAGAUGAAAAAAUCUGUUUCUCCCUGUUGAGAGUUGAAUUGUAUUCCCCCCAAAUAGAUAUGUUCAAGUCCUAACCCCUGCUACCUGUAAAUGUGACCUUAUUUGGAAAUAGAGUCUUUGCAGAUGUAAUCAAGUUAAAAUGAGAUCAUACUGGAGUAGGUUGUCCCUAAAUCCAAUGAGUAGUGUCCUUAUAAGUGGAGAAGAAAAAAGAUACAGACACACAGGGGGAAUAUCAUGGGAAGAAAGAGGCAGAGAUUGGAGUGAUGCAGCUCCAAGCCAAGGAAUGCCAAGGAUUCUGGCAGCCACCAGAAGCCAGGAGAAGGCAUGGAACACAUUCUCCCUCUGAGCCCCAAGAAGGAGCCAGCCCUGCUGACACUUUGAUUUUGGACUCCCAGCCUCCAGAACUGUAAGAGAAUACAUUUCUCUUGUUUUAAGCCACUUAGUUUAUUGUGCUUUCUUGUGGCAGCCCUAGGAAGCUAAUACACUCCUUUGUUAAUACAGCAGAUCCUUGAAUAACAUCAUUUUGUGCAAGAUCGUUUCAUGAUAACAUUGAUGAGUCCAGGCAUGGUGGCUCAUGCCCGUAAUUCCAACACUCGGGGAGGCCAAGGCAGGAGGAUUGCUUGAGCCCAGGAGUUUG